rnacentral:rRNA from 1 species
GAAUGUUUGGGGGGUUAUGCCGCAACGAGCGCAACCCCUGUGCCUAUGUUGCCAGCGAGUAAUGUCGGGGACUCAUAGGAGGCUGCCGGUGACAAAUCGGAGGAAGGUGGGGAUGAUGUCAAGUCAUCAUGCCCCUUAUGCCUAGGGCUACACACGUGCUACAUUGGCCGGUACAGAGGGCUGCAAACCCGCGAGGGGGAGCGAAUCCCAAAAAGCCGGUCCCGGUUCGGAUUGGAGGCUGAAACUCGCCUCCAUGAAAGCGGAGUUGCUAGUAAUCGCGGAUCAGCAAUGCCGCGGUGAAUACGUUCCCGGGCCUUGUACACACCACCCGUCACACCAUGGAAGCAGGUAACACCCGAAGCCGGUGGCCUAACCCGCAAGGGAGGGAGCCGUAUAANGUGGGAUUGGUGACUGGGGUGAAGUCGUAACAACGGUAGCCGUAGCGGAAGCUGCGGCUGGAUCACCUCCUUUCUAGGGAAUACGGAGCCAUUACUCCGGAGGUCUCCUGG